UGCACGUCCUUUUGAGAAUUGGCAGCCAAAAAAGAAAAAAAGAAAAAUAACGAAAAGACGACAAUCCGCGAGAGUAGGAAACCGAGAAAAAAGAGAGAGGAAAGAGAUUGAAUAUUUAUUGGUGAGGAGCACAGAUUGAUUAAUCAAGCUUACACAAUGAAUAAGACUUUGCUCUCAUGCCCAUGGAUAAGUCUUCAGCCUGGAGUACCUAGAGUUUUCGUAGAGGAAUGGCAAGUGGAAUUUGGUUUUCUUGUGGAUUUCAGAGACUUGGGAUUAGGUGGAGUUGAUGUUUCCUAAAUUAUUAGAAGGGAGCAAGAAAUAAAAUUUUCAGAUUGCUACUUUUUUUCUUCUAGGUGAAUGUUGAAUAAAGUCUUCGAUAUGUAGUUGAUAAUUAGAAGCUUUGUAAUAAUGGAAUAUUUCCCUUUAGAUUGACUUUUAUUUCAAGCUGAUGAAUAUUUGUUUA